rnacentral:lncRNA from 1 species
CAAAAAGCAAAGAUUAACCUCGAAGGAGAGCAACAACCACAAGAAUCAGGGGAAAUAAAAACUGAGGAAUCAGCAUUGAUGGACUCAGCUACAGCUUCAUUGACUGGCCCCCUUCAGAGCUCCAGAAUUGAAACUACGAAAGUGGCUGAACAAGUCGGCGAAGGGAGAGAACCAAAAGGCAGCACAGAAGAAAAUCAAACCAAAGAACCAGAAGCCAUUCAUGUAGAAGAUGCAAAAAUGGAUGAAGAACAAGACGGAGAUGAACAUAAAAGGAUAGACUCAAGCUCUGAUGCUCCGGUCAUGAUUGAAGCCAAAAGAGAUGUUGUGGAUGUUAGGGUUGCACAACUUGGUCACUGGCAAAGGAUGAGGAACCUAUUUGAAAUAAACUGAAACUAAUGUAUCGUUAUUUACUAAAAAUAAAAAUAUAGGGAACUCAAUGUUAUUUACUCGAUAAUCAAAUAUUUCAAUUUCUCAUAGUUACAUGUCACCUCUCGCAAGUCACAGGACUCUUCGUGACUCGAGUCGCUUCAUUCCCUCUUGCUUGCAGUCUCCGCCCAUUUUUGUAGCACAGAAAAAAAAACUAAUUUUCAUUUUUCAAUUCAAAGUCUGUGACUCUCAUCGAUCCAUAUAACACAACAAAACAACAAAUUUAACACAAAAAAAAGGAAUGUGUAAGCAAGUAUCCAAGAGAAUAGAAGAAAACCGAGCUUACUGAGUUACUUGGAGCUCUGAGACCUUUCGAAGAUCGAAUUAGUGGAAGAAAACAAAACUUCAGCUAACAAGAAAUCCCGAGAAGUCGAAGCGAGAGGGGCGGUGUGCACUUGAGUAGGGUGAGCAAAAUGUGGAGAUCUAAAGCAGGUCUUGUGAGCUUGUGGCAUAAUGACAUGGUGGAUGUUUUGCAUAAUGUAGAUCGUUAGGGUUUCGUAUGGUAUGGGUCUUAGAAUUUGAGCAGUGGUGUUAGGAUUUCUUAUGGCAUGGACCCUUGAAUUUUAGGGCUCGAAGUUUUAGAGGUAUGAAGAAGAAGAAGGAUAUCGCCAGAGAGAUGAGGCGGCUGGCCAUGAAUUUAGGAGUUAGGGAAUUUUAUGUUUAUGUUGAUUUAGGGUUUUUUGCUUUUGCUUUUAUAUUGUUGUUUUCUAUAUUAAUUUAAUUUGAUAAUUUCAACAUUAUCAACAC